GGAUAUCUGUAGUAMUUWUAGAGCUAAUACAUGCCGGUAAUCGCAACUCUUUCGGGGGAAGCGUCGGACUUAUUAGGUACCUUUUUGCCAUCCCGCUUCGGCGGUUCUUUGGUGAAUCAUAAUAAUCAUACGAAUCGCAUGGCUUAACGGCCGGCGAUGGGCCAUUCAAGUUUCUGCCCUAUCAGCUGUGAUGUUAGUGUAUUGGACUAACAUGGCUUAUACGGGUGACGGGGGAUUAGGGUCCGAUCCCGGAGAGGGAGCCUGAGAAACGGCUACCACUUCUAAGGAAGGCAGCAGGCGCGUAAAUUACCCAAUCCCAAUACGGGGAGGUAGUGACAAGAAAUACCAAUACUCGAUUUUUCAAAAGUCUUGUAAUUGGAAUGAGUACAACAUAAAUCCUUUAACGAGGAACAAUUGGAGGGCAAGUCUGGUGCCAGCAGCCGCGGUAAUACCAGCUCCAAUAGCGUAUAUUAAAGUUGUUGCAGUUAAAAGGCUCGUAGUUGAACCUUGGGUCUGGCUGGCCGGUCCGCCUCACCGCGAGUACUGGUCCGGCUGGACCUUUCCUUCUGGGGAACC
rnacentral:rRNA from 1 species